rnacentral:lncRNA from 1 species
UGCUAGCAUGGCAGAUGAGGAGGAAGAUCCCACCUUUGAGGAGGAAAAUGAAGAAAUUGGAGGAGGAGCAGAAGGUGGCCAGGGGAAGAGAAAGAGACUUUUCUCUAAAGAACACUCAUAAGGCAAUGUCAAUUGGAAGACAAGGUCGAGUGCAAGUUGAAGAUAUUGUCUUCCUAAUUCGAAAGGAUCCGAGGAAGUUCGCUAGAGUUAAAGACUUACUAACUAUGAAUGAAGAGUUGAAACGGGCUAGAAAAGCUUUCGACGAAGCCAACUAUGGAUCUUGACACCGUUUGUGAUGCCCGGGAUUUUGAUAUUUUCUGUGGAAACCAUACAUUGUAUUUGUUGUCUGCAGUAAUAUCGUGAUAGCUAGGCAUGCAAUGACAGAGGCCUUUGAUUUUAGAUUUGUAACGUGAGCCUUUUGUUGCCUGUCUUUAUCUGACCAUAUUUGAGUUGCUUACUGGCCUUGAAUAACUCCUAACUUAAAGUAUUGCAAACCAUGCAGUUCCACCCGAAAGGGGGAAGUAGUACUUAUUCUUCAGGUAGACAUGUGCAUUCCAAGCUGUGUACAUCGCUGCAUAAAAUGCAAUCUAAAUGUCCUCUUGAUUUUAUGAAUGGUAGGGCUUGUGCUUUAUGAAUCUCAAGUUUUUAGACGACAGUA